UUGUCCGGAUCUGCGAAUCCGGUUUUUGUGGAAUAAUUCAACCAAGGGCUAUGAUGUAGCAGCGGUGGAGAGUAAGUCCAAUCAUACGGCUUCAUCCCACCCCAGCAGCAGAUGAGCGCUGGCGAAUGUUCUCAGCCACCUGGAGGAGGAGGUUACCAGACAUCGCCGAUCUGGUGUCUGGACUUUUUUGAUAAUUUCAUAGAGAUUGGAUGUGAAGAUGGGCGGUUGGAGUUCUGGGAGGGAACGACUGGUAACUUUAAGGAUAUAUAUGAAGCCGAAAACAUCCACAACAAUGGGGUAACUAACAUAAAGCUCGCCGGUGACAAAGUGACAGUCGCACGGUUGAGUGGACGAAUCGAUUCUCUGAGACUAGAAACGUACACGCAAGGUUGUCAGAUCGAUUGAGGUUUACGUCUGCAUAUGGGCGAACCCACGUACGCACCGAUUCGGCAGGAAGCAUUAGUUUAUUUCAGCAAUCCGUCCACAGCGUUGCCAGCUCAACAUAACGCAUCCGAGGAGGAGCUUCGAUGUAUUCUGGAGUUUCACCAGCAGGGUCACCGGUGACAUGUUUGGAAGUGGCGGGCGGUACAGUCAUGACUGGCUGCACAUGUAUUUUCAUAGACCAGUGGCAGGCCGAGAUAGGCGCAUCUGGUCACCAGGAUGGUGUGCUAUGUAUGUGGGGCUUGAACUAGAACAGCUCCUACAAGACAAUGGUUACGAGAGUGUUCAGCAGGCCGUUAAUAAGGAAGUGGAUAAUUUUUAU